rnacentral:lncRNA from 1 species
UCUCAGAGCCGCCGUAAGCGGAUCAGUUGUCCCAUUGUAAACCACCGCCGAUGUGUCCAAAUAGAAGCCGGUGUGAUCUCGGCAUAUGGCAGCUACAACACCACCAUGCCUUCGGCGAGCUACUGCUCCAUCAGGAUUUAUCUUCAUCACAUUAACAGGAGGUGGAAGUCAUCCCUUCAGUUCAGAAUUUUGUCGCACGCCCCUUGGUCCUCUUGCCUUUGGUUUUGACAGUUGCUCCAACUCUCUGAUGAAAUUGUUCAC